CUCUAUUCCUUCCUUAUCCAUCCACUUAUUCUCCUCCCUCUCCCUACUGUCAGCCCCUGCGCAGGACUCAAGUUGCUGCCAGCAACCAAGCUGCCAGCAGCUUUCUGCAGGCUGGCAGCAUUGAGUUAAGACUUUUGGGAGCUAUUUGGAUAUGAUUUAAUGCUCCAUUUUCGAAAUUGAAGGCUUGCACUUGUGUGGGGAGAAGUUAGGAGUCAGUCCAUACCUUCCUUGAGCUGGAAUUGAAGGUUAGUGGCUUUAAUUUUAAAGUUUGAUCACGAUUGGUUCAAUGCUGAAAUUUCAGGCAGAUUUCGUCCACUGUUGGAAUUCGUUAAAGUUUGUUCAAAUUUUCUAUAGAAGCUGAGCUUUGAAAAAGUUGGAAGUGAUCUUGACUUUGUCCUCUACUGUGUAGAAUCUUGUUUCGAUCUAUUCGGAGGUAAAAUGAAGGAGAAAUUUAUUUUUUUGUUGAGGUCGAAGACCGAAAAACUGUUUUUCAUCGAAGCUGAAAUGUUGAUCUUUAUCUUUUAAUUAUAAUGGAAUUUCAUGGGAAAAUAUAAGUUUUUCUUGUAGUGAAAAGGCCUAAGAUCACUUGUGAACAAGUCCCAAUUCCCAAUUUUGCUGUUGGUUGGUUGGUGGAGCAAGAAUGAAGUGCAACUUACUGCUGGCAGCUUAGAAGCCAGCAGCAGCUUUGAGAUAGCAGCAGCAACAACCUUGGAGCAGGGACAGUAGCAACUAGUUUUGGAAAUUAGUUUCAAUUUGGACCUUUUUGCUGCAAUUGGAUGCUUCUAGGGUGUUCCUGAGGUAGAGAGGAACCUACGAAUCAAGUUGCAACUAUUGGUUUGAGGGAUUUGUUGAAUUUUCUUAUACUUGUUGGUGAUUCGGGACUGAAGGCACGUGACCGCUGAGCUUCGCUUUAAUUUGUGGUCGGAUUUGCAUACUAGAGUCUUCUUUUGCGGCUACUGCUAUCGCUGAUUUUGAUCGUGGAAAGGGAGUCGUGAGUUAAAUCCCUUCCCUAAUUGCAGUACUAGAAAAGUACCAUCUACAGGUAGUUUUGGGGUAUUUUGAUUCAUUUACAUACUUAUGCUAGUUUACUCGCUAGAGCGAGGGAUGUUUGUAUCCUGGAGAUUUUGUAUGUAUAAUGAAUCUGAUGUUUAUUUAUAUAUUAUGUUAAGUUUAGUAACUCUUUACCUUGUGGUUGUAGCUUGGUUUGUUUACAGGUACAGCAAUCGCUUCGUAUACAGAAAAAAUUUCUUUGUAUACGGCGGGUCUGCGGCGUGCUCGGGGAAACAUGUGAAUCCGGGGCGUGAUAUGCCGUUUGCUCACUAUGAAAAUGAUCCAUCAUUGUUUAAGAUCAAGAUCCCAAUUUACUGCUUCUAUCGAAAUCGAUCAUAUGCUUCUAUGUAAUCGAUUCGCGGUAUCGCACGGGUAUCUUCACUAGUAUCAUGUUAAUUCCAAAUAUAGCAUUUGCCCA